GAUGAACGCUGACGGAAUGCUUAACACAUGCAAGUCAACUGGUGGUGGACGGGUGAGUAACGCGUAAAGAACUUGCCGCACAGCUAGGGAGCACAUCUAGAAAUGAAUGCUAAUACCUGAUACCGUGAGAGAGCUUUGCGUCCCAUUAGCUAGUUGGAGAGGUAACAGCUCACCAAGGCGAUGAUGGGUAGCCGGCCUGAGAGGGUGAACGGGCCCAAGGGGACUGAGACACGGCCCUUACUGCUACGGGAGGAAGCAGUGGGGAAUAUUGGACAAUGGACCGAAGUCUGAUCCAGCAAUUCUGUGUGCACGAUGAAGUUUUCGGAAUGUAAAGUGCUUUCAGUUGGGAAGCGGUACCCACAGAAGAAGUGACGGCUAAAUACGUGCCAGCAGCCGCGGUAAUUC
rnacentral:rRNA from 1 species